rnacentral:lncRNA from 1 species
CCCUGUUCAGCCAUUUCUUGCAUGUUUUCAUGUGAUGUUUUCAGGAUGUUUUAGGGGGUCUUUGGGGAGUUUUUUUGGAGUCAUGUUCACGUAUGUUUGGUGCCUCAUUUGAGUCCACCUGUGUAGGUUCGGACCCGAGGAACCGAGACCCCCGGUUGUGAGAUAGUCGUUCAGAGUUCGUUGUUAAAGCUUCAGUUACCAGGUGAGUGGAACAACCCCUUAAGCUUUAAAGUAAAGGAAUAAAUGAAUGAAUCAUAAAGCAUUGCCCAUGCAUCAUUAUGCUAUGCAAUAUUAGGUUGUAUGCAUUAGAAUUCACGAAUAUGUUGCAUUGCAUACUUUGUUGUUGAUGUGGAUGAAUGUUGAAUGAUCCAUUAGCCCUUGUAUGUCAUGAUAGCCUAUGUGAGUCCAGGUGUGCCUGCUACGGCUCUACGCCCCUGGCACUAUGACUGAUUAUGAAAGUCCGGGUGUGCCUGCUACGGCUCUACGCCCCCGGCAUGUAUGAGUAAGAAAGAUUGGGGCUAUAUGGUGACAAGUUCAUCCUUGUUGUGAAAUGUUUGUGUUAUGGCGCAUACAUGAAAGCAUGAAUAAGAAAAAGUUAUAUGAUAAUAAUAAAAUGAAUAAUAAUAUACCUAAAAAUGGAGGAAUUAAAAUAAAUGUUUUUAGUUUCUGCUCACUGGGCUCUAGUAGCUCACCCCACUCCCUUUAUCCCCAGAGUUGCAGGUACAGGAUAGAUCAAGAAGUCGGCUAGAGUGAAGUCAAGUCAUGUAUGUUGUAAUAGAUAGUAGUGGACAUGAACAUGAUGUAAUGAGUAUGUAUGACCAUGUAAUGUAAUUCAUGAUUUUGAUGAUGUAUUGAGGAUUAUAGUAGUGCUUGACCUAGAGGUGUGUGAAUCCCCAUUAUGUACAGAGUGUUUAAUGAGUAAUGAUGUUA